rnacentral:rRNA from 1 species
UACGUAGGUGGCGAGCGUUGUCCGGAUUCAUUGGGCGUAAAGCGCGCGUAGGCGGCUGCGCAAGUCGGUUGUGAAAUUCCGGGGCUCAACCCCGGAACUGCGUCCGAUACUGCGUGGCUAGAGGUAGGUAGGGGAGAUCGGAAUUCCUGGUGUAGCGGUGAAAUGCGCAGAUAUCAGGAGGAACACCGGUGGCGAAGGCGGAUCUCUGGGCCUUACCUGACGCUCAGGCGCGAAAGCUAGGGGAGCGAACAGG